rnacentral:rRNA from 1 species
GAUGAGCCAGAAUUGGUACCUUGUCUUUAAAUAAGGUGCAAAAUGAUUUUAACUGAAGAGUUUGAUCAUGGCUCAGAUUGAACGCUGGCGGCAGGCUUAACACAUGCAAGUCGAGCGGAGAGAGGUAGCUUGCUACUGAUCUUAGCGGCGGACGGGUGAGUAAUGCUUAGGAAUCUGCCUAUUAGUGGGGGACAACAUCUCGAAAGGGAUGCUAAUACCGCAUACGUCCUACGGGAGAAAGCAGGGGAUCUUCGGACCUUGCGCUAAUAGAUGAGCCUAAGUCGGAUUAGCUAGUUGGUGGGGUAAAGGCCUACCAAGGCGACGAUCUGUAGCGGGUCUGAGAGGAUGAUCCGCCACACUGGGACUGAGACACGGCCCAGACUCCUACGGGAGGCAGCAGUGGGGAAUAUUGGACAAUGGGGGGAACCCUGAUCCAGCCAUGCCGCGUGUGUGAAGAAGGCCUUAUGGUUGUAAAGCACUUUAAGCGAGGAGGAGGCUACUUUAGUUAAUACCUAGAGAUAGUGGACGUUACUCGCAGAAUAAGCACCGGCUAACUCUGUGCCAGCAGCCGCGGUAAUACAGAGGGUGCAAGCGUUAAUCGGAUUUACUGGGCGUAAAGCGCGCGUAGGCGGCUAAUUAAGUCAAAUGUGAAAUCCCCGAGCUUAACUUGGGAAUUGCAUUCGAUACUGGUUAGCUAGAGUGUGGGAGAGGAUGGUAGAAUUCCAGGUGUAGCGGUGAAAUGCGUAGAGAUCUGGAGGAAUACCGAUGGCGAAGGCAGCCAUCUGGCCUAACACUGACGCUGAGGUGCGAAAGCAUGGGGAGCAAACAGGAUUAGAUACCCUGGUAGUCCAUGCCGUAAACGAUGUCUACUAGCCGUUGGGGCCUUUGAGGCUUUAGUGGCGCAGCUAACGCGAUAAGUAGACCGCCUGGGGAGUACGGUCGCAAGACUAAAACUCAAAUGAAUUGACGGGGGCCCGCACAAGCGGUGGAGCAUGUGGUUUAAUUCGAUGCAACGCGAAGAACCUUACCUGGCCUUGACAUAGUAAGAACUUUCCAGAGAUGGAUUGGUGCCUUCGGGAACUUACAUACAGGUGCUGCAUGGCUGUCGUCAGCUCGUGUCGUGAGAUGUUGGGUUAAGUCCCGCAACGAGCGCAACCCUUUUCCUUAUUUGCCAGCGAGUAAUGUCGGGAACUUUAAGGAUACUGCCAGUGACAAACUGGAGGAAGGCGGGGACGACGUCAAGUCAUCAUGGCCCUUACGGCCAGGGCUACACACGUGCUACAAUGGUCGGUACAAAGGGUUGCUACACAGCGAUGUGAUGCUAAUCUCAAAAAGCCGAUCGUAGUCCGGAUUGGAGUCUGCAACUCGACUCCAUGAAGUCGGAAUCGCUAGUAAUCGCGGAUCAGAAUGCCGCGGUGAAUACGUUCCCGGGCCUUGUACACACCGCCCGUCACACCAUGGGAGUUUGUUGCACCAGAAGUAGCUAGCCUAACUGCAAAGAGGGCGGUUACCACGGUGUGGCCGAUGACUGGGGUGAAGUCGUAACAAGGUAGCCGUAGGGGAACCUGCGGCUGGAUCACCUCCUUAA